rnacentral:ncRNA from 1 species
ACGGGAUCAAGCAACCUCCCGAUCAGGCGCAGGCCCAAGCGUUGC